AGAUCGAUGAUGACUCCCACAAAUGCAUUCCUUGGAAAUCUGAACAAAAUGAGUGAACAAAAAAAUUUUGAAGUAAAAUUA
ensembl:snoRNA SNORD116 Small nucleolar RNA SNORD116